CGAAACUAAAACUCAAGGGAACUGAGAUGAUCCCUAGAGUUUUUGCUUGCUCCUAGGGAAACUAGUACAGUUGGCACUGAUAGGAGAACCACGGUGGCAGGGUCCACUGUCUUUUUUAGAAACCAACCACGUGGAAAGGUUGUAAUAUUUUCUCCCGCCUUGUGAAUCCAAAAUUUGGACUGUGCACCAUAUUCUCUUUCCAUUGGAAAGUAAUAAAGUACCCCAAGCUGCUAAACUUUCCCCCUUUGUUCUUCCUUCAACAUGUUCUUUCAUCUCUUCCUCCCCAAAUCAACUCCCUCUCCAGUCUCCACCACCAAAUCUACCCUCAAGUAGUAGAGAUCGACAGGAGCUUCGACCUUCGAGGGUGGUUGCAGCAGCACUCCUGAAGGCCGUGGUGGGCGUGGGCUGAUUGCAUCUGUUUGCGGCUGAGAGGCAACGCCGGGACAGGGGUGAAUCAAGGCCACGGCGACCUGUGCAGCGUGGUGUUGCCGAGCUGCUCUCUAGUUAGCAUUUAGCAAAGAUCGGUAAGGCUGAGAAGUCAAGAACUUGAGCUACGCUUGCAAAACUUGAUAUAUGAAUCAUAUUACUGCGCUUGAUGACUUCUGGAAGUGCUAUUACGUACCAUUUCAAUUGGAUACAACUACUGCAGAAGGCUAUAUUUGUGUUUUAUUUUGACUUUUGAGAGAGCAAAGCCACAAUCUAUUAAGUGUUCGUCAAUUUUCAACUCUGGAUAUACUCUCCCUAUGCGUGUGUGUUUUUUUUCUUUUGUUUUUCGAAGGGCAACUCUGCAUGUACUCCCAAUUUUUACUAUUGAGAUUAACUUUGUAAUGCAGUAUAUAUAUUUUUUGUUCAAGC